rnacentral:ncRNA from 1 species
UGCACAUGUCCUUAAUAGAAACGGGUCCUAAUGCAUAGCAUAAACGGCCUGGAGGUUGAAAAGCGGAUGCAAUUUCCGGCAUGUGCG